rnacentral:rRNA from 1 species
GAUGAACGCUGGCGGCGUGCCUAAUACAUGCAAGUCGAGCGAACAGACGCGGCGCUUGCUCCUCUGACGUUAGCCGCGGACGGGUGAGUCACGCGUGUAUAACCUACCUAUAAGACUGGUAUAAUCUCGGGAAACCGGCGCAAAUACGGGAUAAUAUAUUGAACCGCAUGGUUCAAUGGUGAAAGUCGGUUUUUCUGUCACUAAUAGCUGGUUCCGGGCUGGUUUAGCUAGUUGGUAGGGUAACGGCUUACCAAGGCGACGAUGCGUAGCCGACCUGAGAGGGUGAUCGGCGACACUGGAGCGGAGACACGGUCAAGACUCCUGCGGGAGGCAGCAGUAGGGAAUGUGACGCAAUGGGCGGAAGCUUGGCGGAGCGACGCCGAGUCAGUGAUGAAAGUGUUCGGAUCGUAAAACUCUGUUAUGAGGGAAGAACAAAUGUCGAAGUAGCUGUGCACGGAUUGACGGUAACUGAUCAGAAAGCACCGGCUAACUACGUG